AUUGAACGCUGGCGGCAGGCCUAACACAUGCAAGUCGAGCGAGCGGCGGACGGGUGAGUAAUGUAUGGGGACUGCCCGAUAGACGGGGAUAACUACUGGAAACGGUAGCUAAUACCGCAUACUAUCGGAUAACCCAUAUGUGAUUAGCUAGUAGGUGAGGUAAUGGCUCACCUAGGCGACGAUCCCUAGCUGGUCCGAGGGGAUGAUCAGCCCCACUGAGACUGAGACACGGCCCAGCGUCCUGCGGGGGCAGCAGGGGGGAAUAUUGCGCAAUGGGCGCAAGCCUGAUGCAGCCGUGCCGCGUGUAUUAAGAAGACCCUAGGGUGAUAAAGUACUUUCAGUCGAGAGGCGUUACCGACAGAGGAAACACCGGCUAACUCCGUGCCAGCAGCCGCGGUAAUAC
rnacentral:rRNA from 1 species